GGCUUUUUUGAAAUUUACAGUAUACUUUAUUCAUUUCUCAUAACACAUUUGCAUCAAAUUAAUUGACACUGGAAGGACCAAAUAAACCCUUGUGGGUUUUUACAAGUCAGUCCUUUUACAAUUAAAUUACAAACAGCCAAGAGUGUCGACCAAUUAACUCUUCCGUUCACUGACUGAGUGCCCACAUGUACGUGCGAAUUGUACGAAUCUGCACACAAACCAUGCUAUCAUAUAAGUAUAACUAUAUAUAUGAGACUCUAGACUUGAGCCCCGUUUACACUACGCUCAAUUUUUGGUACGGCACAGAUAAAAUUGGUACCCGUACCACUUUUUUGGUUCUUGGACUACCUAUUUAGCUAAGCCCCGUUUAUACUACGCUCAAUUUUUGGUACCGUACCACUUUUUUGGUUCUUUGUACCAUGCAUCUAAAUAGGUAGUCCAAGAACCAAAAAGUGGUACGGGUACCAAGUUUAUCCGUGCCGUACCAAAAAUUGAGCGUAG